CAACUUCCACCUGGCUUACCUCCUCAGUUAUGCGUCAUGACUUGUAUCGUCUUGAGCGUAUUGUGGGUUUCCUGUGUUGCAUACCUAAUGAAUGGUAUCAUUUUGAUUGAUCGAAGUCCCUUUUCAUCAUGUGUUGCGUUUGCGACGCAUGAUGAACCUAGAAGCGGUCUUUAUGUUCCACCAUGUUGAUGCUAGUGUGUCGAUGUUGUGGCCCAUUGAGUGUUGCUUGGUAUCCUGAAUGCAGAACAUUAUUUGGGCAUAGGGUCACACRUGACUCUUGUUUUGUCCUUUCUCGGUGUUCUUUAUAACGACAGUUCAUGCGCGCCUAGGCUCGUACCUGCGCGAUGUUCUUUGUCGAAGAUGAAUGCUACCUGGUUGAUCCUGCCAGUAGUCAUAUGCUUGUCUCAAAGAUUAAGCCAUGCAUG
rnacentral:misc_RNA from 1 species